rnacentral:tRNA from 1 species
UCCGGAGUAGCUCAGGGGUAGAGCAGGCGGCUGUUAACCGCCGGGUCGGGGGUUCGAAGCCCUCCUCCGGAGCCA